rnacentral:tRNA from 3 species
GGUCCCAUCGUCUAGCGGUCUAGGACGCCGGCCUCUCACGCCGGAAACCGGGGUUCGAUUCCCCGUGGGAUCACCA